rnacentral:rRNA from 1 species
GUAGGGAAUCUUCCACAAUGGGCGCAAGCCUGAUGGAGCAACACCGCGUGAGUGAAGAAGGGUUUCGGCUCGUAAAGCUCUGUUGUUAAAGAAGAACACGUAUGAGAGUAACUGUUCAUACGUUGACGGUAUUUAACCAGAAAGUCACGGCUAACUACGUGCCAGCAGCCGCGGUAAUACGUAGGUGGCAAGCGUUAUCCGGAUUUAUUGGGCGUAAAGAGAGUGCAGGCGGUUUUCUAAGUCUGAUGUGAAAGCCUUCGGCUUAACCGGAGAAGUGCAUCGGAAACUGGAUAACUUGAGUGCAGAAGAGGGUAGUGGAACUCCAUGUGUAGCGGUGGAAUGCGUAGAUAUAUGGAAGAACACCAGUGGCGAAGGCGGCUACCUGGUCUGCAACUGACGCUGAGACUCGAAAGCAUGGGUAGCGAACAGG